CAAACUUCCCCUGCCAGGCAGAAACUCUCUCUUCACCUUCAAUGGAACAUUUAGUGUCAUAAGACCUUCCACCCCACACCCAGAAGGAUGACAUGUUGCAUAGAGAGGCCAAGAAGAAUCUAGACAGACAGACCAUGCUGGGAUCUCCACUCAACCCGUUAGCACUAAAUCAUUUUUUUUUUAUCCAAUCAUAUUUCUACACAGCUGCUGCAACUUUGUUGAUUCUAAGCAUAAAAAUGGACAGCUUCCCCUGCACGUUUUGGUCUUCAUUCUGAAGGCUCCUAUGCCAUGUAAAAGUUUGAUUGAAUAAAUUUGUAUGCCU
rnacentral:lncRNA from 1 species